UUAAAUUAUCAUCAAAAUAAUAAACAGUGGAGUAAAAACGAUAAUUAAUAUGAAUUUAACUUAAUAUGAUUGUGAAGUUAAAUACCAUUUAAACAAAUUUUAAAAAACUUCUCGUCAAAAUAAUGAUUCUCGAUCAUCUCCUUUCUCAAAGAUUUUGAAAUUCCCAAAUACCUUUCCUCAAACAGAUUUAUACACCAAU
rnacentral:lncRNA from 1 species